AGGCUCGGAUGGGUUCCAUUUCACAGAAUGCACUAACGCCAUGACAUUGAGACUGCAGCGUGCUAGUUAAUGGAAAAUCGAUAGCAUGUACAACUCACGAUUGUGUGCAUGUUCAAGUUAUUAGUCUGGCGUCUGAUGAUAUUAUCUAGUUACAUUUGUUCGAACAUCUUAGGAUAAUAGAUAAAUGUCGAUAUA